GAUGAACGCUGGCGGCGUGCCUAAUACAUGCAAGUCGAGCGAACGGACGAGAAGCUUGCUUCUCUGAUGUUAGCGGCGGACGGGUGAGUAACACGUGGAUAACCUACCUAUAAGACUGGGAUAACUUCGGGAAACCGGAGCUAAUACCGGAUAAUAUUUUGAACCGCAUGGUUCAAAAGUGAAAGACGGUCUUGCUGUCACUUAUAGAUGGAUCCGCGCUGCAUUAGCUAGUUGGUAAGGUAACGGCUUACCAAGGCAACGAUGCAUAGCCGACCUGAGAGGGUGGUCGGCCUCACUGGAACGAAGGCACGGUCCAGACUCCUACGGGAGGCAGCAGUAGGGAAUCUUCCGCAAUGGGCGAAAGCCUGACGUAGCAACACCGCGUGAGUGAUGAAGGUCUUCGGAUCGUAAAACUCUGUUAUUAGGGAAGAACAUAUGUGUAAGUAACUGUGCACAUCUUGACGGUACCUAAUCAGAAAGCCACGGCUAACUACGUG
rnacentral:rRNA from 1 species